AUUGAACGCUGGCGGCAGGCCUAACACAUGCAAGUCGAGCGAGCGGCGGACGGGUGUGUAAUGCCUGGGAAUUGCCCAGUCGAGGGGGAUAACAGUUGGAAACGACUGCUAAUACCGCAUACGAUUGGAUUGCCCAGGUGGGAUUAGCGAGUUGGUGGGGUAAUGGCUCACCAAGGCGACGAUCCCUAGCUGGUCUGCAAGGAUGAUCGUCCAAUCUGUAACUGAAACCCGGUCCAGACUCCUACGGUAGGCAGCAGUGGGGAACAUUGCACAAUGGGGGAAGCCCUGAUGCAGCCAUGCCGCGUGUGUGAAGAGGGCCUUCGGGUUGUAAAGCACUUUCAGCGAGGAGGCGUUACUCGCAGAAGAAGCACCGGCUAACUCCGUGCCAGCAGCCGCGGUAAUAC
rnacentral:rRNA from 1 species